UACGUAGGGACCAAGCGUUGUUCGGAAUUACUGGGCGUAAAGCGCGUGUAGGCGGCUUGGCAAGUCGGGUGUGAAAGCCCUGGGCUCAACCUAGGAAGUGCACUCGAAACUGCUUCGCUUGAGUGUCGGAGAGGAAAGCGGAAUUCUCGGUGUAGAGGUGAAAUUCGUAGAUAUCGGAAGGAACAUCAGUGGCGAAAGCGGCUUCCUGGACCAGUGCCGACGUUCAGGCACGAAAGCGUGGGGAGCAAACAGG
rnacentral:rRNA from 1 species